UGGCCGGCUUUCUGUCUCUUUCUUCAUCACAUCACAAUCUUUCCAACUAGAUUCCUUCACACUCUCACUCUUCUUCCUCCUAUAAAUUCAAUUAAUUUGGUUAAUUUUCUUCAGUAAGAUCAAAAGGGUAUUUUGUUUGACAAAUUUUAAGUCCUCCCAUGCCUUCUAACUAUUCCUACUGUAACUCAAAUGGCCAAAACUCAAGAGGAGUGGCCAUGGUGUUGGCCUUAAUAUCAGCAGUAGUGUUGCUAAACAAGGUAUGUCUGGGAGUGAGGAUAGACUAAACAAAUCAAAGUAUGACCAGGGUAUGACUUUUCUUUUCACUCAAUUAGGCGGGAGCUCCUGUUAUGAAUCCUGUUCAGACACUCCGGCAUUCUUCGUCCUGUGGUUCUUGGUGGCUUAUAAUUCCUAUUAGAACGACUUCCUUUCAGCUUCUGAUACAUUUAUUCCAUCUCCUGAUCUUUCUUGGGUGCUAAGAAUCGGGAGCUCAUCAUGGGAGCUUCCUGUGGUCUUGGUCUUGCCCAUGCUUGUGCUUUCAUGGCAGGAUUCUGUCCAAGAUUUCUUCUGGAAAUAAGAGAGAUUUAGAGGUUGAAUUAAACUACUUAUAAUCAAUUGUUAUAUUUGAUGAUCAUUUUGAUUGUGAAAUUUCAUGCUUUAUAAAACUUAGCUCCUUAGAUGCAAAAUCAAAUCUUCAAUUA